AAAAUCCGUUGGUCUUUAUAGGAUCGUGAGGGUUCAAGUCCCUCUAUCCCCA
rnacentral:tRNA from 4 species